CAAAAGCUAAAAUCAAAAUCUGAUUCCCAUCACUUCCAGGUCGAGAGAAAUAAAAUAACUCCGGCGACAGAAAUGGCUUCUUCGUGAGGUUAUUUCUCUAGGAACUUUAUUUUACUAUCGUAGGACAACUGAUAUUUGUAAACAAUAAUAAGAACAUAAAUUAAAAUUACAAUACAGAAAUAUAAAAAUAAAGAAGAAUUGCAAAGUCGAGAUAGUUAAUCUCUUUUCUUAAAUCUUUAAACGUCCCGUAGUGUGACGGUUUCAUGGCGUUCAGAUUUCUAAAAUACAACUGCAGCAUUGUUUCCAUUUACCAUCACCGAAAAAACAGAAUCUAUCGACCUUAUUUCUGUGAUGUACUCUCAGACUCAAAAAAAAAAAAAAAAUACUAGCAUAACUAUUCUGAGUGGGUGAAUUGUUUAUUUGAUUGUAUGAAUGUAUGUAUUUUCUAUAAUGCUAGCAAGCCCUUUUAUAGAAAAAUCAUGAGAAGCA
rnacentral:lncRNA from 1 species